GCUGUCAUGUCCAAGAUCACUGGACAACAGAGGAAAAUCUCAAGCAGGAAACACAGGGUCCCCCAAAAGUAGAAAUAAAAACAACUUGGAGAAAAGAGACAAUGCAAGAUAAUGAAUGUUUUAAAAAACAAUUAUUCUCUGAAAGAUAAGAAACAAUAUUGCAUCCAUGAGACAAGAACUGGAUGCUACAAAAAAGAAUAGUGAGAAAAUUGGAAAAAGCUCUUGGAAAUUAAAGUCAUGAUAAAAGAAAUAAAAGACUGAGUAGGAGAGUUGUAAGACAAAUGAGGAAAUCUCCCAGAAAAUUGAGUGAAAGGAAAACAUGGAAAAUCACAGUGCAAAGAUAAAAAUGAAACUUAGAAAGUUAAUUCAGAGUGAACACAGAAUUUUAAAUUUUCAGAAUUGAAGUUCUAAUUUUCCAAUUGGAAGUUACCAUCUAAUGUCCAAUAAAAUGGAUGAAAAUGAGCAUGCAACACACCACAUGAUGAAAUUUUUAUACAUGAAGGAUGAAGAUCUUAAGAAUUUACUUCUUAAAAGCAAUGUUGGAACCAAGAAAACAGUGGAAUGAGGUUUUCAAUAUUCUGGAGAAAAUUUGUAACCCAGGAUUAUGUCCCGUUCUUGAUGCUGAUGAUGCUGCAUGAAGGUUGGCUUCCCAUGCACAGGACGCUGGAGCUCUCACACAAAUAAUCAACAGAUGAUGCCGAGGUCAUAUGUAUUAGUUUUCUAUUCCUGUGUAACACACCACCAGACCUGGCAGUUAGAACAGCACACAUUUAUUGUCUCUCAGUAUCUGUGGGUUAGGGUUCCACACAUGGCUUAGCUGUCUUCUGCUAGGAUCUCCCAAAGCUGAAUUCCAGACAUUACCUGGGCUGUGAUCUCCUCUAGUGGCUUUACUUGGGAAGAACCCUCUUUCAAACCGGCUCAAGUGAUUGGACAGAUUCCAGUUCCUGGCAGUCGUUAAGCCUGGGGGCCUGGACUUCCUGCUGGCUCUUGGCUCCUGGAGGUUGUAUUCAGCUCCUAGAAGUCGCCCUCAGACCCUAAAUGCUGUACAGAUUCUUACUGCAUGGGCUUAUCCAACAUCGCUGCUGACUCCAUCAAGCCGGCAAUGGAAGUCUCUAGACUUUCAUUUACCUUUCCUCUUACUACAUAAAUGAGAACUGCUUUUGCCUAGGCACCGGGUUUAUGAUGUGUAGUCCUUGCUCCCAAGAAUUUUUGUAGGAGAUUGGCUGUAGAAAUACACAGAAGUUCAAAACCAAGUCAAGAAUAAAAAAUGUUCUGGAAUAACAUGGUGAUGAUAGCAGGACUUUUUGAACACGGUAAAACCUACUGAAUUGUACGCCUUUUAAAGGGAUGGACUUUACGUUAUGUGAAUUGCAUUCAAUAAAAAUAAAAUACCCAGUCAAACUAUCCAUUAAGUGUACAUGCAAAAUAAAAACAAUUCAGAUAUGCGAGGAUCCUGAAAUGUAUCCAUUCUUAAAAAAACUACUGAGGUAUGUACCUUAGUAUGUACCUUGGUAUGUACCUUGAAUGGAGGAUUCAACCUAAAGGGGGAGAACAUUAAAUCCAGGAAUCCAGGGACCCAUCACAGAAGUCAGGCUCCAGGGCAAGAGCUACACAGUUGCAAAUGCCACCAAACUUCCCCAAAGGAUGAUCUGGACACACCAGAAACACCCAGCCAUCAAUUUCUAUCAGCAGCACAUAUGGCGUUUCUGAUGCCUGGAACUCCCUGACAAAGGUGACACCACUGAAAAGGACUGACAUCAUCUAGAAAACUUCAGAAAGUUAAGCUGGGAAAGAAAAAACAGAAAUCUGACCUUCUGCCCAUAAUCUUGGAUCACUCGGGAUCCUGGCGAACAGAUCCAAAACUCUACCCAGGCAUUACAUGGUAUGUGUCCCUGCGUUUAGACUCCAGCUCGUUUUGAAAAGGUCAUAUGCAGCUUCAGAAAUGCACAAAAUACAACCUAAUGCAAGCGAGAUCCGGAACAAAAUCCAUCUGAUGCUAUAAAGAUAUUAAAGGAAAAGUUCUGGGUGCUGAGAAAAACACAAGGAGGUUUCUCCCACGACGUGAGGAUGUUGGGUGUCAUAGGCAGGAUUCCCGGUUCUGUUUACACCAUAAAGUUGAAGACAUUGCUCAACUGGUCAGCAACAAGUCAGGAGAAGCUGCCAUUUGUGAAAAACAUCAGAUGAAUUACAGCCCAAGAAUCAGCUGUGUGGGUGUUUCCAAGGCUUCCAUCUUGUGAGAGCAUCCUCCUCUCCUUUAAUAUUGAA